GAUUUACGAGAGUGCGCCUCAC
rnacentral:misc_RNA from 1 species